rnacentral:rRNA from 1 species
AUGGCGCCGCAGCUGACCGGCGCGCCCGGCUCGGCGGCGGCGGCGGGCGGCGCCGCGGCCGUCAAGCCGCAGUUCCACCACUACCACCACCACCGCCUGCCCCCGCGCCACCACCACCCGCCCUCGCUCCUCUCCAAGCUCGCCUUCUGGUCCGUCUGCUCCCUCGCGCUGCUCCUCGCCUUCCUCCUCCUCGCCCCCUCCUCCGCCCCCGCUCCGCGCGCCGCCCCCGACUCCCCGCGCCGCUCCCUCCACGCCCGCCCCGACUCCGCCGCCGCCUGGGGCGGCGCCGCCUGGGAGAGGAAGGUGCGGGCCUCCGCGCGCGCCAGGCGCCCCGGCCUCUCCGUCCUCGUCACCGGCGCCGCGGGCUUCGUCGGCUGCCACGCCGCCGCCGCGCUGCGCCGCCGCGGCGACGGCGUCCUCGGCCUCGACAACUUCAACGACUACUACGACCCCGCCCUCAAGCGCGGCCGGGCCGCGCUGCUCGCGCGCUCGGGCGUCUACGUCGUCGACGGCGACAUCGCCGACGCCGAGCUCCUCGCCAAGCUGUUCGACGUCGCGCCCUUCACGCACGUCCUGCACCUCGCGGCCCAGGCUGGCGUGCGCCACGCGCUCGUUGACCCCAUGUCGUAUGUGCGGGCGAACGUCGCUGGGCUCGUCGCGCUGCUUGAGGCGGCUCGCGCGGCCGACCCGCAGCCGGCGAUCGUCUGGGCAUCCUCGUCUUCGGUCUACGGGCUCAACUCCCAUGUGCCUUUCUCCGAGCAUGACAGGACGGACCGACCCGCGUCUCUCUACGCGGCCACCAAGAAGGCUGGUGAGGAGAUCGCUCAUGUCUACAACCACAUCUAUGGCCUCUCGCUCACCGCCCUCCGGUUUUUCACCGUAUAUGGGCCGUGGGGGCGCCCCGACAUGGCAUACUUCUUCUUCACCCGGGACAUUCUUGCUGGUCGGCCAAUCACGGUUUAUGAGAGCUCCGGUGGAGGCACACACCAGACCACCAUUUCCCGGGAUUUCACCUACAUUGAUGAUAUUGUGAAAGGGUGUAUUGGGGCAUUGGAUACAGCUGGGCGGAGCACAGGCAGCGGCGGCAAGAAGCGAGGGCCAGCGCCAUUCAGGACAUACAAUUUGGGGAACACUUCUCCAGUGCCGGUGACACAGCUUGUGGAUUUACUGGAGAAGAUGCUCAAGGUGAAGGCCGUGAGGAGGGUUGUCAAGAUGCCAAGGAACGGGGAUGUGCCGUACACGCAUGCUAACAUCAGCCUUGCACAGCGGGAGCUUGGGUAUCGGCCAUCCACUGAUCUCCAAACAGGGCUCAAGAAGUUCGUGCGGUGGUAUCUUGAGUACUACAAUCCUGAGUUGGCUGUGAAGCAGAAGCAGCAUGGCAGUAGCAAUGGCAAGGGUUCACGCGGUCGGAAUGGCAGCACGAGCAGCGCAAGAUGA